rnacentral:rRNA from 1 species
UAUUAUUUUAUAUGUAAAAUUAUUAAUGGCUUGAGUAGUAAUAGUUUGGUUCUUGAAACUCAAAGAAUUUGGCGGUUUUUUAGUCUUUUUAGAGGAAUCUGUCCUGUAAUCGAUAAUACACGAUUUAUUAUACUUAAUUUUGUUAUCAGUUUGUAUAUCGCCGUUAUAAGAAUAUCUUUUUUAAAAGUAUUUAAUUUUCUUUAUUUUUUAUUGAGGUUUAUAUCAGGUCAAGGUGCAGUUUAUAGUUAAGUAGAGAUGGAUUACAAUAGUAUAAACUAUUAUGGAUUAAUAUAUUUAAUUGUUAUUAUGAAGGUGGAUUUAAUUGUAAGUUUAUAUUAAAUAUUUAUGCUGAUUAUGGCUCUAAAGUAUGCACAUAUCGCCCGUCGCUCUCAUUAUUUGAAGUGAG